AUAACAGGAAGAGACGGCUUUAGUAAUCUAUAUACUGUGAUAUCUAGAUACAGUAAUCUAGAUACAAUGUUGUACUGUGCAGUGGUACUGACUGUAUGUUAUAAUAAAAACAUCCCACUAAUCUUGCCAAAACUCUGCUGAUAUUUCUUGUAUGAAUAUACCCUUAAAUCAUUACCAAGAAGUGAAAAUAUCUUCUGCUUUACUCAAUCACCUAUUUCAACCAUAAAUAAAAUUGUAGAAAUUAGUAUUCAAGUUGGUGUUCCACCUGCUCUAUUUUGUAGGAUUAACACCUUCUUAAUUUGUUUUACUAAGUAUGAAAUGUAUAUGAUAUGUAUUGGUAUGAUGUAGUUUCAUCAGGUACUAAAAGCAGGUGAGCUAAUUCUGCUGCUAUGAGGGAGGUUAAAUUGUUGGCAGAAAGUGUUCAUGUAAAAAGAAAAUCAAUAUGAAUCUUAUUUAUCAACAUUAAAAAAUUAUUCUUUAGGUUCAGGGAAAGUAAGUGCAUUCUACAUAAUUAAAAAAAUCUCAAACUAGACAUAAUUGACCCUUUUUGCAUUUCCUUUCUAGUCUUCACAGAUACGUUUCUAAAUUAUUUUCCCCCAUUCUAAUAAGUGAUGUUGGAAAACCAGUGCAUAUUUUUGGAGACCGAAAUUCAAGAGGUCAUGAGUAAAUUUUUAUUCUUUUAUAGAUCAAGUCCCUGUGAGCUACCACCUAUAUAAAAUUCUGUCCAUUUGGACUUAAAUUCUGGUAAGAGGGCCACUUGCAAUUCUUACUUUUCAUUAAAAUGUUAUUAAAAAGAAACUAAGGAAACCAAUGUCCUUUCUUCGUACACAUUGUUGUUUCUGUUGAAAUUUUUGUUUGUCAGAGUCAUUCCCCUCCAGCCAAAAGAUUUCAGCUUUCCCUGCUCAUUUAUAGACCAGUGUCUAGUCUGACAUUUCUAAGCAUCAGUUUAAUAUUAAGCACUGGCAGCACUGCUCCAUCAUAACUUCAGAAGUGCUUAAAGCCUUCAGAGAAGCACAGAAAGAUGUUUUGUUACUUAGUCCAUCACAUCCUACAAGAGCUGAGUGCUAGAACUUGAAACACUCUAAUAUUGAAUGUUAUUUAAAAAUUUCAGGAGUACAGAUCUAUGAACUGGUGUGACAGUUAAGACCUUUGAUUUGUAUCAUCUAUUCUACAAGAGGCACCAUUAGAAAAUCCCUUGAAGUUGUUAGAAGGCUGUUAACUAAUGAAGUGCACCAUCACCUCUGCUUAUGCCAUUGGUGGCUUUCAUCUAUGAUCUGAGAAUACUUUUGCAAACAAUGGCAGUGAUUACUGUUCUUAGUGUAGAA
rnacentral:lncRNA from 1 species